CACCUCAACAAAUCAAAUCAAACAGACAAGUAAAUUGUAUAUAUAGAUAUAAAUUAUAUUUUCUAGUUACCCGUCUAGUCCGGAGUUCACAAAUCUGUUAACGAAGAAGUUCUAUUUCCAGCGGACUAAGGAAUCCUUCAUAAAAGGAGCAGAAAUGCUUAUCCACGAUGUAAACUUCAGAGAUAUUUAUGCGAAAUUUGUUCGUGAUGUUUCUUCCUUCAAGUUCAAUAAUCUAGAUGUAUAACCUUAACAGUGUUCUGUGUUCAUAAUGUUUUAUCUUUAAGUUCAAUAAUCUAGAUGUUUAAACCUGAACAGUGUUCUGGUGUUCAUAUUUUAUCCUUCAAGUUCAAUAAUCUGAAUGUUAAAACCUGACCAGUCUUUUGUGUUUAUGAUGUUUCAUCCUUCAAGUUUAAAAUUCUAGAUGACUGUCCUGUGUUCAUGAUGUUUUUUAUCCUUCAAGUUCAAUAAUCUGUAUGUUUAAAACUGAACAGUAUUCUGUGUUCGUGAUGUUUCAUCCCUCAAGAUCAAUAAUCCAGAUGUUUAAACCUGAACAGUAUUCUGUGUUCGUGAUGUUUCAUCCUUCAAGUUCAAUAAUCUAGAUGUUUAAACCUGAACAGUGUUCAUUGUUUAUAAUAAUUUAUCCUUCAAGUUCAAUAAUCUAGAUGUUUAAACUUGAACAGUGUUAAGUGUUCAUGUUUCAUCCUUCAAGUUCAAUAAUCUAGAUGUUAAACCUGAACACUGAUGUUUUAUCCUUCAAAUUCAAGAAUGUAAAUGCUUAAACCUGAACACUGUUCUGUGUUUAUAUUUUAUCCUUCAAGUUCAAUAAUCUGGAUGUUAAAACCUGAACAGUCUUCUGUGUUUAUGAUGUUUCAUCCUUCAAGUUCAACUAAUCUAGAUGUUUAAACCUGAACAGUGCUCCUUGUUUUUAAUGAUUUAUCCUUCAAGUUCAAUAAUCUGUAUGUUUAAACCUGAACACUGUUCUGUGUUUAUAUUUUAUCCUUCAAGUUCAAUAAUCAAGAUGUUUAAACCUGAACAGUAUUCUGUGUUUAUGAUGUUUCAUCCUUCAAGUUCAAUAAUCUGGAUGUUUAAUCCUGAACAGUAUUCUGUGUUCAUGAUGUUUUAUCUUUAAGUUCAAUAAUCUAGAUGUUUAAACCUGAACACUGUUCUGGUGUUCAUAUUUUAUCCUUUAAGUU